AGCGAACGUUAGCGGCGCGCCUAACACAUGCAAGUCGCACGAGAAACGGAGCAAUCCGCGGUACAGUGGCGCACGGGUGAGUAACACGUGGAUGACCUUCCCUGGAGUGGUGGAUAACCUGCCGAAAGGCGGGCUAAUACAGCAUGGGACCACGACGCUUUGGCGAUGUGGUGAAAGCGGGCCUCUAUAUAUAAGCUCGCGCUCCGGGACGGGUCCGCGUCCCAUCAGCUAGUUGGUGAGGUAACGGCUCACCAAGGCUUCGACGGGUAGCUGGUCUGAGAGGAUGGCCAGCCACACUGGAACUGAGACACGGUCCAGACUCCUACGGGAGGCAGCAGUGGGGAAUCUUGCGCAAUGGGCGAAAGCCUGACGCAGCGACGCCGCGUGGGCGAAGAAGGCC
rnacentral:rRNA from 1 species